UGGAUAUCUGCCUUUUGGUUCGGAAUAACCCCGGGAAACUGGGGCUAAUACCGGAUGGUUCCUUCGGGAUAAAGAUUUAUCGCCAAAAGAUGAGUCCGCGUACGAUUAGCUAGUUGGCGAGGUACUGGCUCACCAAGGCGACGAUUGUUAGCUGGUCUGAGAGGACGAUCAGCCACACUGGGACUGAGACACGGCCCAGACUCCUACGGGAGGCAG
rnacentral:rRNA from 1 species